rnacentral:rRNA from 1 species
AUGAACGCUGGCGGCGUGCCUAAUACAUGCAAGUCGAGCGAACGGACGAGAAGCUUGCUUCUCUGAUGUUAGCGGCGGACGGGUGAGUAACACGUGGAUAACCUACCUAUAAGACUGGGAUAACUUCGGGAAACCGGAGCUAAUACCGGAUAAUAUUUUGAACCGCAUGGUUCAAAAGUGAAAGACGGUCUUGCUGUCACUUAUAGAUGGAUCCGCGCUGCAUUAGCUAGUUGGUAAGGUAACGGCUUACCAAGGCAACGAUGCAUAGCCGACCUGAGAGGGUGAUCGGCCACACUGGAACUGAGACACGGUCCAGACUCCUACGGGAGGCAGCAGUAGGGAAUCUUCCGCAAUGGGCGAGAGCCUGACGGAGCAACGCCGCGUGAGUGAUGAAGGUCUUCGGAUCGUAAAACUCUGUUAUUAGGGAAGAACAUAUGUGUAAGUAACUGUGCACAUCUUGACGGUACCUAAUCAGAAAGCCACGGCUAACUACGUG